CUUGCGGCAAUAAUAAAUCCCACCAACAGUUCCAGACACCAGAAGAAGAGCAACAGCAACACAUAUUCCUGCUGCAAGACCUGAAGACCGAACUGAAUCUGGAACAAAAGAUAUCAGUCAACACUGAAGUUCUUAAUGCUGGUGAUGCUGAAGCUGCUGCUGCUGCUGCUGAUGAUGAUCCAUAGUUCAUAUUCUCCAGAGUCUGUGUUUCUGGUGUUCAUGAUGGUCAGAGAUCCAGUCUGAUGAUCCAGCUUCAGUCUGUCUCUGAAUCUCUCAUCACACUGAACAUCUGUACAGAUCUUACUCUGAUCUCCAGUGAUUUCAGCGAUGAGAAUCUCAUUAAAAUACCACGUCAUCACAUCGUUUGGAUUUUUUCCUACAGGAGUCUCUAAAGUGACAGAUUCUCCCUCCUUCACUGACUUUCUCUUCUUCACUUCAGCAGCAACACCUGAAACACAAACCAACAGCUGCUGGAGGAAGAAACUCUAUAACAGGAACACACUUUGAAAAAUGCUAAAUAUAAAGUAAACUGUAUUUAAAAGAAUUGGAUCAACCUAUCUUUAUUCAUAUAGACUUAGGAAUUUCAGCUCCACUGGAUUAAAAAUGUAUCAUUGACCCCUACAUGUAUUACACAAACAUGUAUAAUACACAGUUUGUAUUACUACAAAAGAAAAUAAAUAGCUGCAUUAUAGUUUAAA